GAUGAAGAACGUAGCGAAAUGCGAUACUUGGUGUGAAUUGCAGAAUCCCGUGAACCAUCGAGUCUUUGAACGCAAGUUGCGCCCGAAGCCAUUAGGCCGAGGGCACGCCUGCCUGGGCGUCACACGUCGUUGCCCCCCCAUCUACUCCUUCGGGAUUGCGGGGGGCGGAUGAUGGCCUCCCGUGCGCCUCGUCGCGCGGUUGGCAUAAAUGCCAAGUCCUCGGCGACGCACGCCACGACAAUCGGUGGUUGCGAAACCUCGGUUGCCCGUCGUGUGCGGUCGUCGCGAAUCGAGGGCUCGAAAAAAUUGCCGGGCUCCGGCUCGGCUUUCAACGCGACCCCAGGUCAGGCGGGGUUACCCGCUGAAUUUAAGCAUAUCAAUAAGCGGAGGA
rnacentral:misc_RNA from 1 species